CCAAUAGCGUAUAUUAAAGUUGUUGCAGUUAGAAAGCUCGUAGUUGAACUUCGGGGUCUACCCAUUGGUCAGGCUUAAUUGUCUGCACUGGUGAGAUGGAUCUCUACCUUCUGAGGAACUUUCAUGCCAUUUAUUUGGUGUGGUUGGAAAUCAGGACUGUUACUUUGAAAAAAUUAGAGUGUUUAAAGCAGACUAUCGUCUGAAUACAUUAGCAUGGAAUAAUGAAAUAGGACGGACUGAUUCUAUUUCGUGUGUUUCUAUGAUCACCGUAAUGAUUAAUAGGGAUAGUUGGGGGCAUUAGUAUUCAAUUGUCAGAGGUGAAAUUCUUGGAUUUAUUGAAGACUAACUACUGCGAAAGCAUUUGCCAAGGAUGUUUUCAUUAAUCAGUGAACGAAAGUUAGAGGUUCGAAGGCGAUCAGAUACCGCCCUAGUUCUAACCAUAAACGAUGCCGACCGGCGAUCCGCUGUCGUUACUUGAAUGACUCAGCGGGCAGCCUCCG
rnacentral:misc_RNA from 1 species